rnacentral:rRNA from 1 species
GGGGCAUCCCGGAGGCAGGAAAGGCUUCGGCCGGACAGGGAUGGGCAUGCGGCGCAUUAGGCAGUAGGCGGGGUAACGGUCCACCUAACCGACGAUGCGUAGGGGUUCUGAGAGGAAGGUCCCCCACACUGGUACUGAGACACGGACCAGACUCCUACGGGAGGCAGCAGUGAGGAAUAUUGGUCAAUGGUCGGGAGACUGAACCAGCCAAGCCGCGUGAGGGAUGAAGGUACAGAGUAUCGUAAACCUCUUUUGUCAGGGAACAAAGGCGGGGACGUGUCCCCGGAUGAGUGUACCUGAAGAAAAAGCAUCGGCUAACUCCGUGCCAGCAGCCGCGGUAAUACGGAGGAUGCGAGCGUUAUCCGGAUUUAUUGGGUUUAAAGGGUGCGCAGGCGGUCUGUUAAGUCAGCGGUCAAAGCCCGGGGCUCAACCCCGGCCCGCCGUUGAAACUGGCAGUCUCGAGUUGGAGAGAAGUAUGCGGAAUGCGCGGUGUAGCGGUGAAAUGCAUAGAUAUCGCGCAGAACUCCAAUUGCGAAGGCAGCAUGCCGGCUCCACACUGACGCUGAGGCACGAAAGCGUGGGUAUCGAACAGGAUUAGAUACCCUGGUAGUCCACGCAGUAAACGAUGAAUGCUGGCUGUCCGGG